GGUGUGGAGUGGAGCUUGUUGUUGGUGUGAAGAAACUUUUACAGACACCAUGGGUGCUCGUCAGUCUGCUGUUCAUAUUACAAACAAGACCGAGGGCUACACCCUUUGUAACCCCAGCCUGCAUCUUCUUAGUGGAUGCUGCCAAAUUCCUUUGCCAACAAAACUUG